rnacentral:lncRNA from 1 species
AGCAGAAGAGGGGAUGAAAAAUGGCCUGAUUCUAAAUGAUGGGCAUGACUCCCUUCAACGGGAAAAUGCAGGAAGAACUUUCCAGCCACUGACAACAUCUGUUUCAAAUUCACAGCAGAUACAGUAAGUUUCAAGAUUGUGGGGGAAAAAACAAAGGAAAUAUUUUGCAGCUACAAGCCCUGGUAAGUUUAUCAAGUGCACAUGCAUUAAUUUUGUUUCAUUUGUGGACACAAAGGCGUCGUAAGGAAGAGUUUUUUUACUGGAGGGGGGAGGGAACAACACACACACACACACACACACACACACUCACAAUUAAACAAUUUGGGUUUUGUAUGUAUUUUUCCAUUUUCAGGAGCACUUGAGGAUGCGUUUGCCUAGCUUCAUGGCCUAGAGGGGUUCUCAUCUCUGCAAAUAAAGCUAUUUGAACUUGAAAGAUUCCCA